AGUGAACGCUGGCGGUAGGCCUAACACAUGCAAGUCGAACGGCAGCACAGUAAGAGCUUGCUCUUACGGGUGGCGAGUGGCGGACGGGUGAGGAAUACAUCGGAAUCUACUUUUUCGUGGGGGAUAACGGAGGGAAACUUACGCUAAUACCGCAUACGACCUACGGGUGAAAGCAGGGGAUCUUCGGACCUUGCGCGAUUGAAUGAGCCGAUGUCGGAUUAGCUAGUUGGCGGGGUAAAGGCCCACCAAGGCGACGAUCCGUAGCUGGUCUGAGAGGAUGAUCAGCCACACUGGAACUGAGACACGGUCCAGACUCCUACGGGAGGCAGCAGUGGGGAAUAUUGGACAAUGGGCGAAAGCCUGAUCCAGCCAUACCGCGUGGGUGAAGAAGGCCUUCGGGUUGUAAAGCCCUUUUGUUGGGAAAGAAAAGCAGCAGGUUAAUACCCCGAUGUUCUGACGGUACCCAAAGAAUAAGCACCGGCUAACUUCGUG
rnacentral:rRNA from 1 species